GAGGACCUUGCAGUGUUCACCCCAAAUAACAAUGGUGGUCAUAUCAUUUUCUACCACAGAAAAAGAAACAGAGGCUCAGAAAGGUGAAGCCAAUUGCCUGAAGCCACACAGAAUAUCAGCUGGAGUCAGGAUUCUAACACCAUCCCAUGUAGCUGAUGCUAUCUACUGCCAGCCUGGAGCCAGGCUAAGAGGAAGAGAAAGAAGAAAAUGCCUGCAGAAACAUUCUAUGUAAAGAACACUUUGGGAUCAGAAAAAGAAGCGCGCCCGUGUUUCACUUGCAGCCUCACCCUGCACUAGGUAACCCUCCUUCCUCCACUGCACAAUCACUUAGAAACUGUAACUCUUCUUGGGCCCAGGUGCACAGGUAAAUUCGGAUCUUUCCCAAGGUAAGUGCCAUGUUUACCUUCGUGUUUAUGCAUUUCCUAUGCAUUUAACGUGUGUAAAAUGGUGCUAUCAUUUUAUUCAGCUUCUGUCUUUGUUUUCAAUGUUACUGGUAAUAUUUUGAGUGUUGUGCUCCUAACCCCAUUCUUGCCACAGGCCCUGCAUGCUACCGUGAUUUUUAGGAACCCUAUGUCACCUCACAGAUCUGAGCAUAUAUGAGUUGGGCUCGUCACCCGGCCUUCUGGGAGUCUCAGUUUCCCUAUUUGUAAAAUGGACAUAGUAAACCCAUCUCCAUCUCACAGAGGAUAGUAAAAAGAGCCCUGGCCUUGGAGUCUGGGGGCUGGGCCACAGGUCAGGCUUCAAGACCCCCUGGGCCACGUUGGGGACUUGGGUUCCUGAGAUCCAAUCUCUGAGCAUCAGCUUCACUGUCUGUCGCAGAAGCACCAUUUCCCCACCUUGUCCACCUCACAGAACAGCCAGGUGGCUUAGAGGUGAGCUCUCAAAUGUCAACAGGCUUUGCAAACUCCAGUGGUCAGCAUUAUGUGAGUAGUUCAGUCUUUCCACAGGGAUCUCUGGGGCCUCGGGUCACAGCAGACCAGAACUUGACCUGGAGGCUGGUGUCCCCCAAACUGCUGUAUGGACCCUGCAACAGCUGGGGAGUCCUCGUCUCAACAGCCCUGCUGUCUCCCACUGAGGUCAUCUGCUGGCCCUCCUGGUGGCCCUGUGAGGAAGCCAGGAGUCACUGAUGCUGCUCUAUCGACGGCGACAGAUGGAUCACAGCUGAUAAGUGACUUGCCCAGAGUUUUGCAGCUUGGAACUCACAGAGCAGAAGCUGGGAAUCAGGUGGGGAAGCACCCAGCUCUCUGCUUCUCCUAAGCCAAGCUCUGCAGCGAGGUCCUGCUUCCCUCGGGACUCCUCUUUCAGCAUGACAUGAACUCAUUUUGAAUGUAAAGGCAAUGUCAAAGCCCUACAGCUAUUUAUACCAGAGCAUGUGUUUAUUAGCUCACUCUCCAGGGGGAAUAUUGCUGUUGUGAAUACACAACUACUCAUAACUACCGUCUUAAAAAUCUUCUCUACCCCAAAAUAUUUACUAAUGUAUUUAAGUAUUUAUUUUCUUGUAGUGAAAGGAAAUCAAGAUAAUUCUAAAAUUGUGGAAGAAAACAAAAAAAGUAUAAAGGAGAAAACAGAAGCUUCACAUAUUCUAACCAUUAUUAAUCUCAAAAUAUUUUAUUCCAGGUCCUUGUCUAUGGUCCAGGUCCUUGUCUAUGGUCCUAUAGCCUAUGCUGAGUGACACUGUGCUAUGUGUAUGCCAUUUGCACUCACCGUGGGGUCAUAAGCGUGCCAUUUCCUUUUUAUUAAAAAAAUACUUUGCAUACAUGAAAGUAUGUUUGCAUUAAAACUAUGCAAACAUCAGUUUUAAUAACUGUAUAAAUAUUCCAUCACAAGGACAUUCCAUAAUUUAUUUAAUCACUUUGGUAGUGUUGGACAUUUAAUUUUUUAAAAAGUCAAAUAAUGCCAGGAUUAAUGCCUGUUUAUAUGAACCAGUUUUCAUUUCCUGAUUAUUUUCUUCGGCCAGAUCCCCAAAAGUGGAAUUACUGAUAAAAGUAGGUGAGUGUUUUUAACACAUUUCUUCUUAUACACACACACACACACACACACACACACACACACCCAUCAACAAAUAGUUUUUCCUGGAAGGAACUUCCAGUAGUGUAUGAGAAAGCCUAUUGCACCACACCAUCCCCAGCAAUGAGAAUUACUACUGUAAAAAAAUCUUUGUUACAUUAAAUUUUUGGAGGACAUCUC
rnacentral:lncRNA from 1 species